rnacentral:rRNA from 1 species
GGGAGGUAGUGACAAUAAAUAACAAUACGGGGUUCUUUAGGAUCUCGUAAUUGGAAUGAGUACAAUUUAAAUCUCUUAACGAGGAACAAUUGGAGGGCAAGUCUGGUGCCAGCAGCCGCGGUAAUUCCAGCUCCAAUAGCGUAUAUUAAAGUUGUUGCAGUUAAAAAGCUCGUAGUUGAAUUUCGGGGUUAGUAGGCUGGUCAUGCCUCUGGUAUGUACUGGUCUUACUGACUUCUCCUUUCUGAAGAACUGUAAUGCCAUUAAUUUGGUGUUGCAGGGAAUCAGGACUGUUACUUUGAAAAAAUUAGAGUGUUUAAAGCAGGCUAACGCUUGAAUACAUUAGCAUGGAAUAAUGAAAUAGGACGUUCGAUCCUAUUUUGUUGGUUUCUAGGAUUGACGUAAUGAUUAAUAGGGAUAGUUGGG